AACGAACGCUGGCGGCAGGCUUAACACAUGCAAGUCGAGCGCCCCGCAAGGGGAGCGGCAGACGGGUGAGUAACGCGUGGGAAUCUACCGAGCCCUGCGGAAUAGCUCCGGGAAACUGGAAUUAAUACCGCAUACGCCCUACGGGGGAAAGAUUUAUCGGGGUUUGAUGAGCCCGCGUUGGAUUAGCUAGUUGGUGGGGUAAAGGCCUACCAAGGCGACGAUCCAUAGCUGGUCUGAGAGGAUGAUCAGCCACAUUGGGACUGAGACACGGCCCAAACUCCUACGGGAGGCAGCAGUGGGGAAUAUUGGACAAUGGGCGCAAGCCUGAUCCAGCCAUGCCGCGUGAGUGAUGAAGGCCUUAGGGUUGUAAAGCUCUUUCACCGAGGAAGAUAAUGACGGUAGUCGGAGAAGAAGCCCCGGCUAACUUCGUGCCAGCAGCCGCAGUAACAC
rnacentral:rRNA from 1 species